UGGGGGAUUUUGCACAAUGGGCGCAAGCCUGAUGCAGCGACGCCGCGUGAGGGAUGAAGGCCUUCGGGUUGUAAACCUCUUUCGCUGGGUUGAAAGGCCAUGCUUUGGGUGUGGUUGAUUUGAACUGGUAAAGAAGUACCGGCUAACUACGUUCCAGCAGCCGCGGUAAUACGUAGGGUACUAGCGUUGUCCGGAUUUAUUGGGCGUAAAGGGCUUGUAGGUGGUUUGUCGCGUCUGUCGUGAAAUCCUGUGGCUUAACCAUGGGCUUGCGGUAGGUACGAGCAGGCGUGAGUGCGGUAGGGGAGACUGGAAUUCCUGGUGUAGCGGUGGAAUGCGCAGAUAUCAGGAGGAACACCGGUGGCGAAGGCGGGUCUCUGGGCCGUUACUGACACUGAGGAGCGAAAGCGUGGGGAGCGAACAGG
rnacentral:rRNA from 1 species